rnacentral:rRNA from 1 species
AUGGAACAACGAGACCUCCGUCGUUCCGCGGCCGCCGCCGCGCCUUACUAUCCAAUCAAGAAAGAGAGUCAUUGUUUCUCAAAGAGAAAGAAAGAUCACCAUCACCAAGUCAGCGGCGGCAUAACGGCGUCUAUGCCCGACGACGUGCUCGCCGACAUCUUCACCCGGUUGCCGGACAUGGCCACCCUUGUCCGCUGCGCCGCCACAUGCUGGCGCUGGGGCCACCUCGUGGCCACCAGGGCAGCGGUCAUCUCCCCCUGCNNNNNNNNNNGCACAAGGGACGCGCCAUCGCCGCGGCCGUGUUUUAUCGCAACGGCCUCAUGCACACGUUUCAUCCGUGGUGAUAGCCAGAGGUCUUUAGCUAUCUUGGGACUAGAUGGAGGCGACCGGCUUCUGGACCACUCCCGUCCCGUUGCAUCCCGGAAUGGCCGCCUCGUCCUUGAGCUCCGGUGCAACCCGCGCCAGGAUUGUGCAUCUGAUGGCCUCUCGCUCGCCAUCUGCAACCCGAUGAUGCUUGACAAAAUCGAUGUCAUCCCGCCUUUGGUCUUAGUAGGCCAGAACACUACAACGAUACUGGACUACGGCUGCGCGUUGCUCACCGGCCACGAUCUCAACCCUCAGUGCCACCAAGAUUUCUUCCACAUUCUGCUCAUCUACAGCCACAAUCAUCCUGGCGGGCAGUCCACGGUGCUCCGAUGCUACUCCUCGGAUACGGGGCGCUGGGGACCAGAGACUGAAUCCAUUGUCAAGAUCCCCAUCUCCAAGAUAGGCAAUAUCGGGCCCGCUGUGGUACGCCGCGGGGUGGCAUUCUGGGCUCUCGAACAGGGUGUGCUCGGGGUGCGCCUCGAUUUGAAGGACCACACCAUGGACAUGCACAUGGUGCCUUGCGACACCUCACACGCGGGUCCAAACAACCGACUCAUGGGCGUCUCACCGGACAACCGGCUCUUCUUAAUGUAUUAUUGUUUCAUGGGAGCGCGGUUGGGGAAGCUUGUGUUGAAGCUAACCUAUCUCGAGUUUCCCAAUGAAGAUGACAUGCAAACCGACAAGAUAUGUAGAAAACGCAAAAUUGUGUUGAUGGAGCAGAUGGGGAAACUGAUGAUGGUGGUGACUCGCUAUGUCCACACAAUCAAGUUGUGGUGGUUUGGCGAGAAGAGCGGCAUCCUGUUGUUCACAAUGGGAGAAGGGAGCGGGCAACCUGGCACCUACAUGUUGAAACUUGAGGAGAAUGCCGUUGAUAAGUUGGCCGAUGAUGGUCACUUAUGA